rnacentral:rRNA from 1 species
AGAGUUUGAUCCUGGCUCAGAACGAACGCUGGCGGCAGGCUUAACACAUGCAAGUCGAACGAAGGCUUCGGCCUUAGUGGCGCACGGGUGAGUAACACGUGGGAAUAUACCUCUCGGUGGGGAAUAACGUUGGGAAACUGACGCUAAUACCGCAUACGCCCUUAGGGGGAAAGAUUUACCGCCGAGAGAUUAGCCCGCGUCCGAUUAGCUAGUUGGUGAGGUAAAAGCUCACCAAGGCGACGAUCGGUAGCUGGUCUGAGAGGAUGAUCAGCCACACUGGGACUGAGACACGGCCCAGACUCCUACGGGAGGCAGCAGUGGGGAAUAUUGGGCAAUGGGCGAAAGCCUGACCCAGCUAUGCCGCGUGAAUGAUGAAGGCCUUAGGGUUGUAAAGUUCUUUUAGAUGGGAAGAUAAUGACGGUACCAUCAGAAAAAGCUCCGGCUAACUUCGUGCCAGCAGCCGCGGUAAU